AUUGAACGCUGGCGGCAGGCCUAACCCAUGCAAGUCGAGCGGAGCGGCGGACGGGGGAGUAAUGCCUAGGAAUCUGCCUGGUAGUGGGGGAUAACGUACGGAAACGGGCGCUAAUACCGAAUACUAUCAGAUGAGCCUAGGUCGGAUUAGCGAGUUGGGGGGGUAAAGGCCUACCAAGGCGACGAUCCGUAACUGGUCUGAGAGGAUAAGCAGUCAAACGGGAACUGAGAAACGGUCCAGACUCCUACGUGAGGCAGCGGUGGGGAGUAUUGGACAAUGGGCGAAAGCCUGAUCCAGCCAUGCGGCGUGAGUGAAGAAGGUCUUCGGAUUGAAAAGCACUUUAAGUUGGGAGGCGUUACCAACAGAAUAAGCACCGGCUAACUUCGUGCAAGCAGCCGCGUAAUUC
rnacentral:rRNA from 1 species